rnacentral:rRNA from 1 species
AUGAAUACUCAACACAAUGGGCAAGGGUCAGGACAAAAUAUUGCUGGAUUUGGUUUUGUACAUGCUGGUGCUAGGACUAGUAGUGGUGCUAAUUUUGCUGAUGGUAGACCUCCUUUAAUCUGCUAUAAGUGUGAGCUCCCUGGCCAUGGGAUCAAGGAUUGUAAAACUGCUCUGUUCUGUGUGAACUGUACCAAGAGGGAUUCUCAUCUAUCUCGGAAAUGCUCACUAUUGACGCAACCUAAGGCGAUAGCUGGAUUGAUUGGUAUGGGAGCUGAUGGGCUUCAGAUGUUCUCUGCUCGUACUGGAAAGAAGCCGGAGUCGGAUAAAACUAAGGAGGCGAUUGCUGUUGUCACUGUUAAAGAUGGGAUGCUCACUGCACAGCAACUGGUCAACUCUUUGAGCAUGAUGUUUCAAUGGGGAUGGGAGUGGCAGGCUAAACCGUAUCUAAAAAAUAAGUUUCUGGUGAAGUUCCCUUCAAUACAAAAAAUUGAUGAAAUGAAAACCUAUGGCUUCUUUGGGUUGAUUGGUAGCAGAGUCAGUAUAAAGAUAAGCAGAUGGACAAAUUCCUCGAUGGCAUCGUACAAGUUAUAUGUAUGCUGUGUGACAAUAGGCGGAGUGCCAGAAACCUUGCAGCACUACCAAGGGUUUUGUGAGGUUGGGUCUCUGAUUGGUGAGGUCCUUGAGAUCGAUAUGGAAUUGUACAGGCAAUGUGAGGUUCUUAGAGCAAAAAUAGGUGUUAUGGACCCAAGAAAAAUACCAUCAAGUGUGCCUCUUAAUGAGGGUGGCUACAUUUAUGACAUCUACUUCGAUUUGGAAGAUAUUGUGGAAGAAGGAGGUCCAAUGGAAGUGGGAAUUUUA